rnacentral:rRNA from 1 species
UACGGGGGGGACGAGCGUUGUUCGGAUUUACUGGGCGUAAAGGGCGCGUAGGCGGGCCUUCAAGUCGGGUGUGAAAACUGAAGGCUUAACUUUCAGACUGCAUUCGAUACUGUUGGUCUUGAGUACAGUAGAGGAAAGCGGAAUUCCAGGUGUAGCGGUGAAAUGCGUAGAUAUCUGGAAGAACACCAGUAGCGAAGGCGGCUUUCUGGGCUGAUACUGACGCUAAAGCGCGAAGGCUUGGGUAGCAAACAGG